UCUGCCUCCUUUAUAUAAUUUUAUUGCUUCUUAGAUUACAAUAUCACUAUAAUCAAAUCACGAAGCUGAGACUUUAAGAUGUUCUUCUGUUUCUUUUCACACUGCCAGUGUGGCCUUUGCUUCUAUUUUUUCUGAUCCUGUGGGGGAUAUCCCUAAGAUUUGCCUUUUUAGUUUCCCUAAAUCUUGAGAGGAUGAGUUGGCAGUGAACUUUUACUUAAAGCUGCAAAUGAAGAACACCCUUUUAUUUAGACACUUCGUUUCCUUGCUUAUUGUUGGAUUUUGUUGUUUGAGCUCAGUUCCAGUUUUGGCUCAAAAUGGACCGCUCACAGAUCAUGUCAAGCUCAUUUCUGGAGGGGUGAAUUUAGGUGCAUGGAAUAAUGAGAUAUCAGAACUGCCACAAGCACCAGCGCCAACAACUUAUGAGUCUCCAAGCACGCUGGUGUUGGCAGCACCAAGGACAAAUAGGCCAGACCUUCUGCGCCAUUUCAAGCAUUUUCACGGUGGUUGGAAUAUUACCAACCGCCACUACUGGGCGUCAGUUGGAUUUACAGGGGCAGUGGGAUUCAUAUUUGCUGCGUUGUGGUUUGGUUCUUUUGGCAUAUCAUUACUGCAGAUGGAGAGUAAACAUCAAAGGAAAAAGAACGGAUCAUUCUCAAACAAUUUGUCUUAUACUACUCAUAUUGUUCACUAGCGCUGCAGCGAUUGGAUGCAUUCUUCUUUCAUGGUGAAGUGUUGCAUACUUUGAAAUAUGUUGUAACCCAGUCAGACUACACUGUGCAAAUCCUAAAUAAUGUUACACAAUACCUUUCUCUUGCAAAAACCAUCAAUGUGGUCGAGUUGUUCCUUCCUUCCAAUGUCAUUACUGACACCGACAAGUUGAACAUAGAUCUAAAUGCAGCAGCAGAUACACUUACAGAGAAUACCGAUGAAAACGCUGUCAAAAUAAGAAGAGUCUUCAAUGCCGUGCGAUUGGCAUUGAUCUCCGUGGCAGCAGUGAUGCUAAUUUUGGCCCUGCUUGGUCUUUUGUUGUCUGUUCUAGGGCACCAACAUGCCAUUCACAUUGUGAUUUCUGACACUUGUUUGGCUAUGGAAGAAUGGGUGGAAAAUUCGCAUGCAGAGACUGCACUUAGCUACAUACUUCCUUGUGUUGAUCAAAGAACAACAAACCAUACACUCACUCAGAGCAAACAAGUCAUCAAUAGUUUAGUAAAAGUUGUCAAUACAUAUAUUUACACAUUUGCCAAUUCUAAUCCUUCCCCAGAUGACAAUCGUUAUUAUAAUCAGUCCGGGCCUUCAAUGCCUCAUCUAUGUUCUCCAUUUGAUUCUCAACUCCAAGAUCGUCAAUGUGGGUCAAAUGAGGUGUCUAUGACAAAUGCUUCUCUGGUAUGUUUAUCAAAUUUGAUAAUUUGGUUUGAGUUUUUUCUUCUUUUUGUUCACAAUUUAUUUCCCACAGACAUUACCGAAACAAUUUUGUCUAUCCAAAGUGAACAAAGAGUCUUUGAAUAUUGAAUAGUUAUCUUUGCAUGUGAAGCUUUUCUACCUUCAA